rnacentral:lncRNA from 1 species
UUCUUCCUGCUCAGCACAAUCUUGUUUGUGAUUCGUAAAAAUAUAAAUGGGGAAAUCCGGUGCACAAGGCUCUUGCAUGCACGGGCCGUGUCGGGGAAGUUGAGUCUGAUACGCGCUAACAGACUCAAGAUGUUUUUUCCAUCCGGUCACAAAAAUAAUGAAAUAUUUGUCUUUAUUACGGUGCAACUAAAAGCUAAAAUCGAAAAUAAAAAAGUUAUGUGUCAUUCAACGACCAUUUAGAAAUAAUCAGUGAAUUAGUUGAUCCAAUUGUUACUCUUUUUCAUUACUUUUUAAUUUGUAAAUUGUUUUUUUUUCUUUUUGUGGUUUCAUAAAUCUUCGAGUCGAUGUUCUAUUUUGUAAUAAGUUGUUUCUACGACCGAACUCAUUACUCUAGAUCAUAUGACAUUAUGGCUGUGUAAAAAGCUCGCAAAAAGCUCGCAGUUUAAAGCUCGUUCGAAGCUCACUUGGAUUUAGCUCGAAAAAAGCUCAUUCGAGAUAUAGCUCGGUUUGAAAGUGAGCCGAGCCGGCUCGGCUCGGUUAGAAAGUGAGUCUAGCUUGGCUCGGCUCCAAGGGCGUAGCUUUCAAGGGGCCGGGAGGGGCGCCCGACCUUCCGAACUUUUUGCUCAGUAGUGUUAUGUAUGUAUGUUUCGUAUAGAAUUUU